GAUGAACGCUGGCGGCGUGCCUAAUACAUGCAAGUCGAGCGAAGCGGGGACGGGUGAGUAACACGUGGAAAACCUCCUAUAAGAGGGGGAUAACUUCGGGAAACCGGAGCUAAACCGGAUGCUUCUCGCUGGAUCCGCGCUGCAUUAGCUAGUUGGUACGGUAACGGAUUACCAAGGCAACGAUGCAUAGCCGACCUGAGAGGGUGAUCGGCCACACUGGAACUGAGACACGGUCCAGACUCCUACGGGAGGCAGCAGUAGGGAAUCUUCCACAAUGGGCGAAAGCCUGACGGAGCCAUGCCGCGUGAGUGAUGAAGGUCUUCGGAUCGUAAAACUCUGUUAUUAGGGAAGCGGUACCUAAUCAGAAAGCCACGGCUAACUACGUGCCAGCAGCCGCGGUAAUUC
rnacentral:rRNA from 1 species